rnacentral:tRNA from 1 species
UGGCGUCUGACUUCGAAUCAGAAGAUUGAGGGUUCGAGUCCCUCUGUGGUCU